rnacentral:rRNA from 1 species
UACGGAGGGUGCAAGCGUUAAUCGGAAUUACUGGGCGUAAAGCGCACGCAGGUGGCUGAGUCAGUCGAUUGUGAAAGCCCUGGGCUUAACCUGGGAAUUGCAGUCGAUACUACUCAGCUAGAGUAUGGGAGAGGGUAGUGGAAUUCCCGGUGUAGCGGUGAAAUGCAUUGAGAUCGGAAAGAACACCAACGGCGAAAGCACUCUGCUGGGCCGACACUGACACUGAGAGACGAAAGCUAGGGGAGCAAAUGGG